rnacentral:misc_RNA from 1 species
UCUCCGUAGGUGAACCUGCGGAAGGAUCAUUAAUGUGUUUGGGCCUCACGGCUCUUCAUUCCGACGCUGUGCGCCUUCGGGCUGCACGCUGAGGGAGCAUAUAUCCACCCCUGUGCACACACACGGUGGCGAGCUGGGUAACGGCUCGCCGCUGAUCUUUACACACGUCUAAAAGUCAUUGUAUGUUUAUUUGAGAUAAAAACACAACUUUCAGCAACGGAUCUCUUGGCUCUC